GUUCCUGUAGUUGAAUUACAACGGUGGUUUUUCACAUCGCUAGUCCUGGAUAGAGUCCUGGCAGGAAUU
rnacentral:tRNA from 1 species